UAAAGUAAAUGUGCACAGUCUCAACAUAACACUUUGUAAAUGGAACUCCGCUAGUGCAAGUGGUCGGAAUUUGAAACGUUGCUUCAUCAAGGAAAGAACUCACGGAAAGUGUGACGAUUAAGCGAAAAAAGUAGCGAAAGGAGAAUUGAGCACGGCAUGAGGAUGUCGGCAAUAAUACACAAAUCUCAACAGAUAAUUACCUCGUUCCAGCUCCCGAACUGGCGAGACACCAGGUGAUAUAAAAAAAGAAAGAUCAAACGAUCAAUCGCAAGGUUUGAGGGAAGAUAGUACGAUUAGAAAUUAUAACAAGACCCUGGCAUGGAACGUAUUGGCAAGUAGCUAAGCUAGAGGUCAUUCGUUGAUCGUCGGAUUUUUGGUACUCACGUUGCGUUUCGAUGUUUGCACACCGAUAUUUCUGAUGCACGUCGGAAUCAUCUUUGAUUAUCUUUUCCUUGAUCACGAUCGAGAUCAAGCGAAUUGACGAGGAAUUAAUGUUUGCAGACAAAAUGGAUCCGACGAGGACGGCUCAUUCGUUUGGCGCGGACAGUAUCGUAAGAUCUGGUUCGUAAACGUCACAGGUUGGAUCUUAUCCCCUCCACUAAAUUUAUUAAAAAAAAAAUGUUGGAUGAUGUGACGUAAUGUGUCGUUCACUACGAGGGACAUGACUUAGAAAAAUGUUAAAUAUAAGCUAAACAGAGUGCUGCCAUCUGGCUCGAAGUCCCGGAAGUACGAAGCCCGCUUAGAAAAAUUUGAAUUGAACUUCUUAAACACUCUUUUCGACGUGGAAUAUUAAAAGGAAAUUUUUCUAUGGAUAAUGGAUAUUAAAUCAGGGAAAAUGAUAUAUUCACUAUCAAAAAAAUGAUGAAAUUUCAUUAGAAAAGUCAAGAUUUUGUAAAACAGUGGCAUUCACGAUACACGGUGGUGUGAAUUGGACGUAACGUAUCGUGUUCUUUAUAUUUAUGUACGUCGACGAAAUGGUAACUGCAAUACCGAAUAAUACGAUCAGGUAACCAAAAUAAUCAUGCCAUCUUCGAAGAGUGCAAUUUAGAAUCGUCUUUCGUACUGAUUCCUCAGGAACUAUUCUUCUAUGGGUUCUGUAGGAACGACUGGCAUCUAUGAAUACUGGUUCGCCAUCAUGCCUCCUUGUUGUCAUUAAAUAUUGUUCAUUAGGUUCCCUGACGUUAACAGUAUUGUCAUCGUAACCUACGAUAUCAUCGAACUCAUCUUCCAGCUCGUCGUAAUAAACGUAUGAAUAUCGAUGGUAGUCAUUCUUUGGCAUGCCUAGAACACCGUAAUAAAUUGACCUCGAAUGUAUUCUUGAAUCCGCUGAGAUGCCUCCUCCAAUGCUUCUACGUCUCUCAGACCCAGAGUACACGUCAGGCGUUGAUGUACGCAUGGAUCUUUUCUUUAAAGCCAUAAUUUUCGAAUAUACCAAUGGAGGAAGCACAAAGACUAAUGGACCCGUUAGAGAUCCUCCAAUGAGCGCCAUUACAAUAUCGAACCUUGGUACUGUUUCUCCUACAGCCACUCCAAGAAAGAUAAUGGCUGACCUUACGGCACACCGUUUCCAUCCAAAAGCUAUGAACAAGUAUAUACAGUGCAAGAUACUUGUAGUAAGACAUUGAUGCAAUUAGGUUUUCUUGAUUUGACUAACAAAGAAUAUUAUUCUUGAACUCUUACAUGGUUGAAUAUUCCAUUGAUCUUCUAAAUCCUGAAAAAGUGCAGAGUGACCAAGAGCACUAGAGAAACAUAAUUGUAGAGAAGCGAGUAGUAUAGCUGCAUUCAUAGUAAAAUCGCCUGGAACCAUUUGCAAAACAUUGGCUGUUGUACUACCACCAUAUUUCCAGACAGCUAAACCAGUAGUAACAGCAAACAGUGAACCGCUCACUAUAAUAAAUGGUACUGAUUAUUGAUAGGAAUAAUAGAGAAAAUGAUUGAAUUAAGGAAAGAAUAUUGUUACCCAAGAAAGAAAUUAAAACAGCUUUGUUGAUGUCUUGAGGACGACGCAUAUCCACUUGGACAGUCAUUAAUGUUGGAUGCACGUCAAAUUGAAAUGCCAGCAUUCCAUAUCUAAAAAAUUAUUUAAUGAAAAAUAUUGUCUUGGAGGUAACAGCAUUAACUUUUGCAAUGCUUUACCCAGAAAUAAAUUUAUCCCAGGAAGGAGAAGUAGGCACUGGUAAAGUGUUCAGUUCUCGAUUAUCAGCAACUAUACACCACCAUAUCAACAUCGCUGUUAACAAGACUGCCAUACAGGAAAACGUUGCCAAUAUUCUGAAAAUUAUUUCUGUAAUGUACUGUAAAUUUUGAAGUUGUUCGAAACUUGCAAUCAACAUAUACAAUGUACAUAUAUGUAAUCUCAUUUAUACUACAUUUGUAUAAAAUUUUAUUGUUUUUAAAAAAGAUUGAACAUAUCACUGAAAUUGAUAUGAGUUACUUCAUAUCACGUGGACUUCCAAGCCACAUAAUUGGACAUAAAAGUACACCCACAACUAGAAGCCAAUAGCAGAAAGACAGAUCGAAUCGUUGUCCUGAUAUUCUGGAUCCAAACAAUUGUAAAUUUUGCGAAGCUGAAAUUUAUCAGUCAUUUAUAAUCAACAUGUACCUAACAAUGUACAGCAUUAGUUGAAGCUAUAACAAGAACGUACCAACCAAUAAGUUAGGUAUACUGCAACCGAACACAGUAAGAUCUAGAAUUAUAGUGACUAAAGUCCUCGCCCGAGUACCUAAAGUUAAUUCAGUCACAGCAGCAAGAGGGUGUCUGAAAGGAAGAUCAUAAUUCAUCAAAUAAAACUUAAUCACGCACAGAAUGCCUCUACGUUAAAAAAUAUAAAAUUUAUUUAAUUCCCAUAUAAACUAAAAAUUGGUAACACAUUACCGAUUUUUUCGUGAUAUUUGUGGAUCUAGAGUAGUCGCAAUCAUCCAUGAUUUCCCAAGGAGAACCGCUGUGUAAAUUUGCAAACCGAACACAACGAAAACGAGGGGAAUCCCGUAUAAUCCUAAAAAUUACACAACACGUUCACCCUUAUUCUCGGUCGUUUUAAAAGAUUAAAUUCAAUCCCUACAAUAUCUAUAUUACUACAGCUCAAUAUCAUCAGCGCGAGACACCGAACUAGGUAUUUACAAUAAAUAUUUUUUUAACAAGUUAACCAACUUUAUUUCCUUCAAAUAUUCAACACUCUCUCUCUCUCUCUCUCUCACACACUCUCACUCUCUCACGAUUCCUCGCGCAU